CUGGGUCAGGUGGUCGUGGAGGAAGGGGAGGCAGAGGCCAAAAUCCUCUGGCCCUGAAUCCUGAGUUGAAUGUGGUUUCAACUGUAGACAAUGUGGCUCCUGAUAAGUCAUGGGCUUCUAUUUCUGAUCUCUCUUGCUCUGUCUUUCUGGUAUGUGUGUUUCUGAUUAAGCAUACUAUUUGUUCGGAUUGGUUGUUCUACUUUUCGCUCUCCUGACGUUGAUCAUGGAUCAUGAUGCAACAGGUCAAUAUGAGACACUCUCACAGGAGUUACAAUGGAAAGAAAUUUGGUGUUGCUUUCCAAGUUUGAAAAAAUUAUCAUUUAAAAACUUCAAGGUAACAGCCUUCCAAUUGUAUUUGUUAAUGUUGUUGACGAAUCAAGGACCAGUCCUAGAGGAGGUUCUUGUGGAACUGAGAAUGUGAGACCUCAUCGACAAACUGUCCAAGUAUGUCUCUCUCAGUAGUUCUAAGAAACUAAGAGUUUACCCUUCAUUUUGAUCAAUUAUAAUGAUGACAAAUUGGAGACUGAGUUUGUCUUUAAUUUUGAUGAAUUAUAAUGUUUGUAUGGAUAAUUUAGCUUUUAUUUUGUUACUUCCUAAUGCUUACAGUUGUUUUGCUACUUUUGUUGCUACUUGUUGCCAUGCAUAUUUUUUGAAAUCAUAUAUAUGUGACCUCUUAAUAUUUAAUGUUUGGCCACAGUUUAUUUAACUCGUGGAAUUACCCAUUUAUUUUUAUUUUUUUUCAAAUAACCAAAUAUUCCUUACAUAGUCUUGGCCAUUUUGCAUUUUAUCUCGCUACACUUAAAUGGUUCCAUUUAUAAAGUUUAUAUACUGUUUAUCCUGUUUAAAUACUUUAAUAAAAAUAAAAUAAAAGAUAAUAUUUAAUUCUUUAACUAUUGCAUGAAAUGCUAAUCUUUAUUUGUUUUUAAAGAUGAAAUGUCAUCUAUGAGCAAGUUUUUAUCUUAGGCAUUAAUUAGUUUUUACUUUUAAUUAAUACAUGGGUGAAAUUAUAAUUCUAGCAGACGGAGUAAACAAUACUAGUCAUUAUCAUUUUUUUCUUAUUUUUUAUUGAAAUAACUACACUGUUUUUAGCAGAAAAGAGUAAACACAAGUAUUGUAGGUGGUUGUAAUGGUCUGUUUCUUUAUAAAGAAUGGAGCUGUUACUGUCCAGGUGUCGUGUCUGCCUGCUGUUACUGUCUAUAAAUUCUACAGGAUUGUGAUGUGUAUGCUUUAGUUUAGCUUCUAUGAGUAGCUGCCCAGGUGCCGUGUGUGAGUGUGUCUCUGCCUUGCUGCUGUUGAUUCUGCCUUGCUGCUGCUAGCUCUGUUUGCUGGCUGUUUAGCAACUGUCUAGGUGUUAUUUGUGAGUGUGUAUCGCUGUUUCUGUACCUAUUGCCUCACAUGUACUGUGGCCAUUUUUGUAGGGGUUGUUUUUGUUUGUUGGGUUUUAGUUGGUUUUAUUUUCUUCUGUUGGUUUUGUCAUUUUUAUUUUUAUUUUUUUUGCUGGGUUGUUUUGUCAUGUUUGGGCUUGGGGCAUGCCCCCUUGUAAUCUUGUAUUUUUUCCUGUUUUAAUUUAUGAUUUAUUCAUCCAAAAAAAAAAAAGAAGAAAAAAG